UUUAGUUUACCUCUUGACCAAGUUAGAUCCCCUCAUCAAGUUUCGCAAAUGACCGAAAUUAUGGUUUAAACGGAAAACUGUUAUAGCAUGUUUAUAUUGUUCGAGAUAUCUUAUUCAAAAACAUUCACCAUGAAAUAAAAAUUAAUAUGAAAAACCAUACAAAUAUCAAUGUAUGAACCAAUAAAUGUUUUUUCUUUCAAAAAAAAAAUUAACCAAAGAAAUGACACAGUAUAG
rnacentral:lncRNA from 1 species